ACAUACGCCAGGGUAAGUAGUAGUGGUGAUCCCAGGCCAGGCAGGGUUCAAAGCAUGCCAUCUGCUCAGAAACUCGAUUUGAUUUUGGUUUUGGUGCCAUCCUGCCCAGUGACACCUUUGAAAGACUGUGCUCAGCUCCAUCCAUCAGCGCUUCUCUCCCAGGUUUGAUCAGCAAUGAGCUCUCACCUUCCUUUCCAUUGUGUCCUUCUUGCAGGUCCUCUGUGUGUACCCUCACUGCAUCCAGUGGGGUGACCAUCCUCCACAUCUGCCAGGGUCACUCUUCCCUCCAAAGGAAAGGCCUCUCAGGAGCAGCAGACAGAAAACCAACCCUGAGAACUCUGCAUUUUUUUUUGGAGGAAACCUGUGCAAUAUGCUUUUCAAGUCUGCUGUUCCAGAAGAGCAACUAAACACGUGCUGAACUUUGACCCUCUGUCAAGGAAUAAAGCUGAACUGAGGGGGAAAGGAGCAUUUAUUCCCAGUGGGCAAAGAGAGAAAGGCUGAAAUGAAGGAUUUUCUCCAAUGAUAGCACUCCCUGAGCAGCAAACCCCACCUCUGAGUUUCCAGUAAAUCUAUUGGGAGUACAAAGCAAACCAAUCCGGAAACGUCAAGGCGUAUUUACUGUCCUAUUAACCUGCUGCCCCAUUCCUUCUCUGGCACACGCUGGCGGCACACAAAGGUGCGUCCCAGUGCUACGUGCUGGGGAGGGAGCAUGGCUGUGAGCCCAGCUGGGGCAUGGUGACCAAAUGGCUCCCAGCUCCUGCUCUCCAGCCAUCACAGCAUGGAAAAGGGGUGCUGGAGGUGAGCCUGUUCUGGGAACAGUAGUGCUUGGGGGCUGUGCCAGUCUUUGUGCUGUCUGCUCUAAACGAGGCAGAAAUUUAAUUGUAACAAGGAACUCGCACACACUUACCUGCAGCUGAAGCCAAAGCAGCUUCUGUUAGAAAUCACCUAGAUUUGACUGCUGUAAAAUACUGGUUGCAAGUAAGAUGGGUUUCCUGAAUGCCAUAUUUUACUUGGUGACACAUCUAGAA